rnacentral:rRNA from 1 species
CACGGAGUUAGCCGGUGCUUCUUCUGCGGGUAACGUCAAUUGAUAAGGGUAUUAACCUUAUCACCUUCCUCCCCGCUGAAAGUACUUUACAACCCUAAGGCCUUCUUCAUACACGCGGCAUGGCUGCAUCAGGCUUGCGCCCAUUGUGCAAUAUUCCCCACUGCUGCCUCCCGUAGGAGUCUGGGCCGUGUCUCAGUCCCAGUGUGGCUGAUCAUCCUCUCAGACCAGCUAGAGAUCGUCGCCUAGGUGACGUCCUUUACCCCACCUUACUAGCUAAUCCCAUAGUGGGUUCAUCCGAUAGUGACAAGGUCCGAAGACGCCCCUGUCUUUGGUCCGUAGACUAUUAUGUCGGUAUUACGCCUACCGUUCAGUUAGUUACUCCCCUCUACGUCGG